rnacentral:rRNA from 1 species
UACCUACGGGGGGCAGCAGUGGGGGAUAUUGCACAAUGGGGGAAACCCUGAUGCAGCGACGCCGCGUGGGUGAAGAAGCGCCUCGGCGCGUAAAGCCCUGUCAGCAGGGAAGAAAAUGACGGUACCUGAAGAAGAAGCCCCGGCUAACUACGUGCCAGCAGCCGCGGUAAUACGUAGGGGGCAAGCGUUAUCCGGCUUUACUGGGUGGAGAGGGAGCGUAGACGGCUGCGCAAGUGAGAAGUGAGAGCCCGGGGCUCAACCGCGGGACAGCGUUUGAAACUGUGUAGCUAGAGUGCUGGAGAGGG